UACGUAGGGACCAAGCGUUGUUCGGAUUUACUGGGCGUAAAGGGCGCGUAGGCGGCUUGACAAGUCACUUGUGAAAUCUCUGGGCUUAACCCAGAACGGCCAAGUGAUACUGUCGAGCUAGAGUGCAGAAGGGGCAAUCGGAAUUCUUGGUGUAGCGGUGAAAUGCGUAGAUAUCAGGAGGAACACCGGUGGCGAAGGCGGGUCUCUGGGCAACAACUGACGCUGAGGAGCGAAAGCGUGGGGAGCGAACAGG
rnacentral:rRNA from 1 species